AACGAACGCUGGCGGCAGGCUUAACACAUGCAAGUCGAACGGCAGCACGGGAGGCAAUCCUGGUGGCGAGUGGCGAACGGGUGAGUAAUACAUCGGAACGUGCCCAGUAGUGGGGGAUAACCCGGCGAAAGCCGGACUAAUGCCGCAUACGACCUACGGGUGAAAGCAGGGGAUCGCAAGACCUUGCGCUAUCGGAGCGGCCGAUGUCAGAUUAGCUUGUUGGCGGGGUAAAAGCCCACCAAGGCGACGAUCUGUAGCUGGUCUGAGAGGACGACCAGCCACACUGGGACUGAGACACGGCCCAGACUCCUACGGGAGGCAGCAGUGGGGAAUUUUGGACAAUGGGCGCAAGCCUGAUCCAGCCAUUCCGCGUGCAGGAUGAAGG
rnacentral:rRNA from 1 species